AAAGACUGCAGUUUUGCACUAUUCAUAUCCAACGUUUGACCGUCCGUUUUAUUUGAAAGUUUUUUAUAAUUAGUAUUUUUAUUGAUAUUAAAUGAUAAAUUAUGAAUAAUACUUUAUGUGUGACUAUUUUUUAUUUUUUUUAAUAAAUUUUCAAACAAGACGGACGUGGUUAGU
rnacentral:pre_miRNA from 1 species